rnacentral:pre_miRNA from 1 species
UAUUUACUCCCUCCGUUCGGAAUUACUUGUCAUAGAAAUGGAUGUAUCUAGAUGUAUUUUAGUUCUAGAUACAUUCAUUUCCGGGACAAGUAAUUCCGAACGGAGGGAGUAUUAC